rnacentral:rRNA from 1 species
UGGGGAAUAUUGGACAAUGGGCGAAAGCCUGAUCCAGCCAUGCCGCGUGUGUGAAGAAGGUCUUCGGAUUGUAAAGCACUUUAAGUUGGGAGGAAGGGCAGUAAGCGAAUACCUUGCUGUUUUGACGUUACCGACAGAAUAAGCACCGGCUAACUCUGUGCCAGCAGCCGCGGUAAUACAGAGGGUGCAAGCGUUAGGCGGAAUUACGGGGCGUAAAGCGCGCGUAGGUGGUUCGUUAAGUUGAAUGCGAAAGCCCCGGGCUCAAACUGGGAACUGCAUCCAAAACUGGCGAGCUAGCGUAGGGCAGAGGGUGUUGGAAUUUCCUGUGUAGCGGUGAAAUGCGUAGAUAUAGUAAGGAACACCAGUGGCGAAGGCGACCACCUGGGCUCUUACUGACACUGAGGUGCGAAAGCGUGGGGAGCAAACAGG